rnacentral:rRNA from 1 species
GACGUAGGGGGCGAGCGUUGUCCGGAUUUAUUGGGCGUAAAGAGCUCGUAGGCGGCUCAGAAAGUCGGGUGUGAAACCUCCAGGCUCAACCUGGAGACGCCACUUGAUACUGCUGUGGCUAGAGUCCGGUAGGGGAGCAGGGAAUAUCCGGUGUAGCGGUGAAAUGCGCAGAUAUCGGGAAGAACACCCGUGGCUAAGGCGGCUCUCUAGUACGGUACUGACGCUGAGACGCGAAAGCGUGGGGAGCGAACAGG